GACGAACGCUGGCGGCGUGCUUAACACAUGCAAGUCGAACGGUGAAGCGCCUUCCUUUUUGGUGGGUGUGGAUGAGUGGCGAACGGGUGAGUAACACGUGAGUAACCUGCCCCCUUCUUCUGGAUAACCGCAUGAAAGUGUGGCUAAUACGGGAUAUUCUGGGUCUGUCGCAUGAUGGGUCUGGGAAAGAUAUUGUUUCGGUGGGGGAUGGGCUCGCGGCCUAUCAGCUUGUUGGUGGGGUGAUGGCCUACCAAGGCGGUGACGGGUAGCCGGCCUGAGAGGGUAGACGGUCACACUGGGACUGAGACACGGGCCAGACUCCUACGGAAGGCAGCGGUGAGGAAUAUUGCACGAUGGGCGCAAGCCUGAUGCAGCGACGCCGCGUGAGGGAUGGAGGCCUUCGGGUUGAGAACCUCUUUCGCCAGUGAAGCAGGCCUGCCUCGUUUGUGGGUGGGUUGACGGUAGCUGGAGAAGAAGCGCCGGCUAACUACGUG
rnacentral:rRNA from 1 species